ensembl:ncRNA T27B1.8 ncRNA
UCAAAAUCGAGUUUCAAAAGAAGCUUCUCAUCGUUCUUUUUUUUGGUGUUGUAGACAGGGGGAAUGAGAGAACACGUAGGAGAAAUGACAAAAAAAGGGAAGAAGUUAGCGGAACGUUAGGACACGUUUCGUCAAAUGUCUAACUUCU